AGAAUCAACGCUGGCGGCGUGCCUAACACAUGCAAGUCGAACGAGAAAGUGGAGCAAUCCAUGAGUAAAGUGGCGCACGGAUGAGUAACACGUGACUAACCUACCCUUGAGUGGGGGAUAACUGAGGGAAACCUUAGCUAAUACCGCAUAAUACCCACGGGUCAAAGGAGCAAUUCGCUCGAGGAGGGGUCGCGGCCGAUUAGUUAGUUGGCGGGUAAUGGCCCACAAGACGAUGAUCGGUA
rnacentral:rRNA from 1 species